rnacentral:lncRNA from 1 species
CGGGGAGCACCCACUGGUGGCUCUAACUUUCCCCAGGUGGGAGCCUUGUUUCCCCAGCUGAGCCACCAGCUGGUUAGUGCCCAGGCUGGGCCUCCGUCUACUGCCUCCCCCGGCAGGCCAUCCUCACUCCCUUGCUGAGACUGAAGAAGGGAGAGGCACAGGCAGAGCACUGGAUGGUUUAUGCAACCAUCACAGUCGGGACUCCACUGGUACCUCAUGAGGUAAGCAGCACCAACACUAUUCGCUCUUUUGGUGGUUGUGGGAGUACCGGGGAUUGAACCUAGAGUUUUUACACAAAGCUACAUCCCUAGCCCUUUAAAAAUUUUUAUUUUGAGAUACUUCUUGCUAAGUUGCCCAGAAUGGGCUCAAACUUGUGAUCCUCCUGCCUCAGCCUCUCCAGUAGCUGAGAUUACAGAAGAGUGCCAUCACGGCCAGUUCAUUUGCUAGGAGCCAGGACCACAAGCUGGGUCACACAGAGACAGAAGAACCAAACUCCAUGGCAGCGCUGCAGGGCGGGGAGCUCCAGGCACCAAGAAUAUCUGCAGACAGAGAGAGCCAGCCAAUCUUCAGUGGCAGCAGGGGAUGGGCAGGGGCUGGAGGAGCCCAAGAAGCAGCCCACGGAGGAGAGCUCAAAUCCCAGCCCCUGCCUGAGCCUCAAGGCCUCUCAGUCUGUACCCCCAGGCCGCCUCUCUACCUGCCAGGCCCAGCAACAAGGCAGAGCUGCAGGCAGGUGCAGAAGGCCUUCUUGGGACAAGAGGCCUUCCCACCUCUCCAACCUUGACCAUACCCCCCAGGGACUGGGGAAGGGAACCAACCCUGACUGAGUGGCAACUGUGUGCUGAGCACUUGAUGGAUGGCAACUUCCAGAAGCCUUGAGUGCUGUGUGGUCCAACAUGGUGGUCACAAACCAUGUGUAGCUGUAUAAUUGAAAUGAGAAGUUCUGUUCCUUUCCUGCACUAACCAUGUUUCCAGUAGUCCAUAGCUGCCAUAUUGGACAGUGCAGAGAACAUUUCUAUCACCACAGGGAUGCUCUUGAGGAAGGUGGAUAAAUGGGAAAACUAAGCACAAAGCCCAGGUUCUUUCUGCUUGGCACCAAAGUAUCCCCCAGCGAGCUUAGUGGAUGGGCUGGGGUCCUUAUCUGGUGUUCCAUGGUUGUACCUGGUGGAGGGCAGGGGCAUAUCUGGUGUUCUGCAGUUGGUAGGACUGAGCCUAGGGCACAAAGGGUAGCACAGAUGGCUCACUCUCCCUUCACCCAGGCCUCACCAAGGUGCCUCAUACAUAUGUGAGAUUCUGGAGGCCACUGACCAUGAGCUGAGACCUAGGGGUCCAUGGGAACAGAUGAUGUGGCCUGAAAGGGCAACAGGCAUUCUUGCUCUGCCAGGCCAGAGCCACAACACUAUGCAGAGAUAACCAGGGCCACGCAGGAGACAAGAGCCAUACAAACACCUGAACUUCAGGGUCACCACAUUCCAGCUGCAAAGAGAUUCCCCGAGGAUCUCGUAUCCAUGCACUGUGUCGGUUCCUCUCAUGGGAGGAGAGGCAGUCAGUAGUCCAUGGCACCCUCCCACCCCUAAGGGAGAAGAAGGCAUCCUGGCCUGAUGGCGCAGGGCACAGAUAAAGAAGGAGCUGCUUGCUCUGCUGCUCGGCUUCUCCUCUCUCCCGGUGAGCUCCUCUUUUUCGGUAGAUCUUGCUCUGGGACCUCGAAACACCUC